UUUUAGCCCUGAUGGAAGCGGCAUCCUUAACACCCUUGGAGGGUUACAACCCUUCAAGGGUGUUAAGAUAUAGCGGACAGCAGGAUUAGCU
rnacentral:sRNA from 1 species